GAGCUUAAGUUAUACAUAAACUAAUAGCCUUCAAAGCUAUCAAAAAAGACCUAUUUAGCUUCUG
rnacentral:tRNA from 1 species